rnacentral:rRNA from 1 species
UGGGGAAUCUUGCGCAAUGGGGGGAACCCUGACGCAGCGACGCCGCGUGGAGGAUGAAGGUCUUCGGGUUGUAAACUCCUUUUCUCAGGAAAGAUGAUGACGGUACCUGAGGAAUAAGCCACGGCUAACUCUGUGCCAGCAGCCGCGGUAAGACAGAGGUGGCAAGCGUUGUUCGGAAUUACUGGGCUUAAAGGGCGAGUAGGCGUCCCGACAAGUCAGGUGUGGAAUCUUUUCGCUUAACGGAAAAAUUGCAUUUGAAACUGUCGGGAUUGAGUCAGUGAGGGGAGGGCGGAAUUCCCGGUGUAGCGGUGAAAUGCGUAGAUAUCGGGAGGAAGGCCGGUGGCGAAGGCGGCCCUCUGGCGCUGAACUGACGCUGAGGCGCGAAAGCGUGGGGAGCAAA